GAGACCGUGGUGUAGUGGUAACACUGCAGACUGUGGCUCUGCCGUCAGGGGUUCGAAACCCCUCGGUCUCC
rnacentral:tRNA from 1 species